rnacentral:rRNA from 1 species
AACGAACGCUGGCGGCAUGCCUUACACAUGCAAGUCGAGCGGCAGCGCGGGGCAACCUGGCGGCGAGCGGCGAACGGGUGAGUAAUACAUCGGAACGUACCCAGUUGUGGGGGAUAGCCCGGCGAAAGCCGGAUUAAUACCGCAUACGACCUGAGGGUGAAAGCGGGGGAUCGCAAGACCUCGCGCGAUUGGAGCGGCCGAUAUCAGAUUAGGUAGUUGGUGGGGUAAAGGCCCACCAAGCCGACGAUCUGUAGCUGGUCUGAGAGGACGACCAGCCACACUGGAACUGAGACACGGUCCAGACUCCUACGGGAGGCAGCAGUGGGGAAUUUUGGACAAUGGGCGCAAGCCUGAUCCAGCAAUGCCGCGUGCAGGAUGAAGGCCUUCGGUUGUAAACUGCUUUUGUACGGUAACGAAACGGUACUCGCUCUAAUACAGUGGGCUAAUGACGGUACCGUAAGAAUAAGCACCGGCU